CGGAGAAAUGCAUAUGAUGCAGCUUUCAAGUUGAAGGCGAUCGAUCUGGCUGUUGGAAAAGGAAAUAGAGCUGCUGCACGGGAGCUUGGCCUUAAUGAGUCGAUGAUAAGACGUUGGAACUGUGCAGAUCCGACUGAAAGCCAAAACAAUCCCCACCGCAAUGAAGUUUGACUUUCUUGGAACUCAGCUGUGUGGAACCUUGAAGAAAGGAACAGAGAAUAGUGUGAGCUGUGGCAACUGCAGUUAGAUGGUUGAGCCAUCGUGCGAUCAACGUCAGCUAUCUUAAAUCUGCACAGACAAGCUAAUCACCUAUUACCCAGUGUUCCCCGCCACUGUUUCCAAACAUCUACUAACUGCCGCGUAGAUAAGGUUGUACUUUUCUAUAAAAGCUCUAUAAAUGCAUUGCAGGCAUUCUAAGGUAGCAGCGUGACAAUUUGGUUUUGAACUGAUGUAGCUAGCUAGCUAUGUUUUGUGUAAACAUGUAGGACUGGCAUUUGGACGUCAGCUAGCUAUCAUUUGCUAGCUUUUGUGUCAAUGUCAAAUGUUGUUGUCUGCUAGCUAGCUAAUGGCUGAAGUUAUUUGUGUAACAACAUUUCCAUAAACAUUUACAGCUAGCUACAUUUAUUUGCCUUUUCGUUAGCUAGCUAGCUUUCAGGUGACUUGUGUUAACUAGCUAGCUACAGAGGCUAGCUGUUGGACUUUGGACAAGCAAGCUAAUGUUAGCUAAUAGAGCUGUAUUGUUACCUAGCAUCCAAGUUCCUGACAAGCUUAGAUAGAACUCAGAGAUUUGGCUGAAAAGAAAUUAGCAAUACCAGAAAUGUUACAAAAAGGUAGCACAUCAUUGAUUCUUAAUGGAUGGAAAUGUGCACGUGAGAGUGAUAAAUUAUAAAUGUAAUAAAAAAAUGUACAAUC